GUUCUUUACUAUUGUAAGUCGCUUUGGAUAAAAGCGUCUGCCAAAUGAAAUGUA
rfam:Astyanax mexicanus Tnplaced_Scaffold4483, whole genome shotgun sequence.